rnacentral:lncRNA from 1 species
AUGGAUGUGUGCCCACAGAUGGAGUUGACCCAAAGGGAAUUCAUUACCACGCAUCUCCAAUGGCAAACCAAGCCUCGCUGCAAAUCAGACUGCACUGCCUGGAGAGGUUCUGACGAACGCACUGCAGACAGGGCUCCACCAUCAAAAGGAUCCUCAUGGGACAGUUUUUGCUUCCUUCCCAUGCAGCUGGGCAUCCUGGCAGUCAGUGGGAGCUUUGGGAGCAUGAUAUUACUCAUGUGGGGUUUUUUCUGGAAGCAUGUUCCAACAGGGCAGAAAUUGCAGAGUAUGCUUGGAUCAGGCAGUGUCCCAGAGGGAGGCUGGAGGGGAGAGCUGUGGGUGUCUCCACCAGAGAAAUCAGGCAGAAUGCUGCAGGUCUCAAAUAAGGGAAUAUAUAUAUUUCUGUUCCAUCUUCCAGCACUUUUCUAUAAGCAUUCAUGGAUUAAUCAUCCAGCUCAGUUGGCAUUAGGAAGGCUUUGCUACUCCUUGUUAGUAGAAAAAAAGCAUGGCAGAAAACUUGAAGUCUUUAAGGGCCAACAAGAAGUCACAGACAGACCUCCUGCCUACUUUCCAGCAUUCAUAACAAACAAAAAGGGGAGUUAGGCUCAGCCAGCUUGAAGGAGGAUGGUAAAAUAUGUAGAGACAGAUUUAGCAGUAAAAGAAAAUCCCCAAGUGAGAAGAGGAAUGAGGCCCCACCUACAUGUAAAACCAGUGCCCACCUGACCAUCAGAUUGCAAACGCACGGCACCUUUUAAGUACAUAAGCAAAUUAGAUAAAAUGAAUAAUCUCAGGGCUUAUAUGUGUCAUAGAUCUGGGAGAUGAGAGGCGGCUGGGAGCUGCAUGCGAAGCUUUGAUUUUACGAUGGAGGAUUAGUGCAGCGCCAGGAUUAUCUGGCAAGCCCCAUCCCAGGUACAGUUGAGUUGGGUCAAGCAAGCGGUUGAAGUUUGCUUCUUGCCAGAAGACUCAGUCACAUAAAAACUGUACUGUUACACGCCCAGAUGAGUCAGGCUCCUAGCAUCGUAAACUUUAUUCCACAAUGAAAAUGUGAGCCUCUACAACAAAGAGGCCCUCACACCCGUUACAAGAGAAUUUUUGAGGGUAUAUCGUGCUGCAGUUGUCCUAGGGGCCCAGCAGCUCAUUGGCAUCUUGGCACUAGUCCUCAGUUCUCCAUCUGGGAUGACUGGACCUAGGGAAAGGAGCCACUCAACGUUUUAACAUUUCUGGGAUAAUUUUCCCCAUGGUUCCUCUGCUGUUUUCUGUUUUGAGAGCACAAGGGCCUGGCGGAGGAGACAUGGCACAUGAGUUGCCAGCAGUAUUCCCAGCAGAGGAUGAGCUCAGUGCCUUCUCCAUCAGGAUGUCAGGCAAUGGGGUUUGGGAGAGGUUUGGGAAGGGCUCCGAGGCAGGCCUGCUCCCAGCUGUGACACACCACAUCCUGGCGGGGGCUGCCCAAGGGAGGAGGAACAAACGAUGCCCAGCUGUGAGCCGCUAUGGCAGGCCCCAUUCUGAACCAGUGAGGGGAUGUAGCCCAGCCCCAAGCCCCAGGGGAGAUGGAUUUAAUAUAUCUGUUGGUCUCCGGGAUGGCAUUCACCAGGAGACUGUAGUC